UACGAAGUGGGCUAGCGUUGCUCGGAAUUACUGGGCGUAAAGCGCACGUAGGCGGCUCUUUAAGUCGGGGGUGAAAUCCUGGAGCUCAACUCCAGAACUGCCUUCGAUACUGGAGAGCUCGAGUCCGGGAGAGGUGAGUGGAACUGCGAGUGUAGAGGUGAAAUUCGUAGAUAUUCGCAAGAACACCAGUGGCGAAGGCGGCUCACUGGCCCGGUACUGACGCUGAGGCGCGAAAGCGUGGGGAGCAAACAGG
rnacentral:rRNA from 1 species